rnacentral:rRNA from 1 species
GACGAACCGUGCGAACGUUAUUCGGAAUCACUGGGCUUAAAGCGCGUGUAGGCGGGCCGCCACGUCGGUCGCUGAAAUCCCCCGGCUCAACCGGGGAACGGGCGCCGCAACGAGCGGCCUGGAGGGGCGUAGGGGGACCUGGAACUCCCGGUGGAGCGGUGAAAUGCGCAGAUAUCAGGAGGAACACCAAUGGCGAAGGCAGCACUCUGGGACGUGACUGACGCUGAGACGCGAAAGCGUGGGGAGCAAACAGG